AAGUCGUAACAAGGUUUCCGUAGGUGAACCUGCGGAAGGAUCAUUAUAGUAAGAGAGGGUUCACGGGAAGCCGUGGACUAUGGCAGACGCCCGCGAGGGUGGCUGUGAAACGGUGAGAUUUGAGACUGAAGAGGAAGGAAAAAUACAACUUUUAACAAUGGAUCUCUUGGCUCCU
rnacentral:misc_RNA from 1 species